AAAAAUAAAAAGAUAGCUCCUCAUCAUUGUGUCCACGCCAAUUAGGGCCAAAACCCCUAAUUUGGAAACCACACAAAAAUCAGAUAGAAAUGUUGAGAGAGAAGCUGCAAGUUUUGAUUUCUCUCUUUUUGGUCUCUUGGGCUUCCAUCUCGUUGAUUUGCUUGCUAGGUCGGGUUUGUUGAUCAUCUUCUUUUCGUCCACACAUCAUUGUAGGGUAUAUCCAAAGGUUGGAUCUUGCACUUCUUAUCAGGCAGCUAAGUGGAUGAAGAAGUUAGUGAACCCCAAUUUGUGUCCCAUGAACUAUUGAAUUGGGGACAUGGUCAUGGUGAAGUUUAAUCCUCGCAUGAUUGGAAGAUUGAGGUUAUCAUUGACUACAAAGCUAGGCGAAAAUAAGGACAAAAGCCGCUCGUAUGUUCCUCAUCCACUAGAACGGGCAGCGUCCGAGGAGGCCACAUGGGAAUGGUAUAAAGAAUUGUGUCAAUUCAAAGACAAGAUUUGAGAGUUUAUCUAACAACAUUGCACCGUGAUCGUCACAACAUCAGGGUGAGAGAGUGUGAUGACCCGCCACAUCAUCAUUCCACCUAGGUGCCGCUUGACAUACAUCUUUGUGACGUGGGAUGCUUAAAUUGUUAUGAACAAUGAGAAUUAUAGCAAUGGUAACGAAAAAUAAGAACAAACAAUCUUAACGUGAAAACCUUUGAAGGAAGAGAACUACGAUCGUGACCAACUCUUAUUAAUCUCAAUAAAAAAUGUAUUUAUAUGAUACAUAAUUAUGAUGGAAAGCCAUGUAUAUAUAUAGGUUGCAAAAGAACCUAAAUCCAGUUGAUCAGGCCUAUAAACAUAACAAUUCUCCCACUUAGAACUGAUCCAUCUUCCGCAUCGAUCAUCGUAGAGUUGGUGACUUCAGCUAACUCCUGGUUAUCUAGGCCAAGAGAAGCCGAGCAUGUCUCCAACUUCUCAAUAGUGACUGAUUUAGUUAACAUAACUGCCAGGAUUCUCAUCAGUGUGAAUCUUAUCCAUCUUGAAUGUCUUCCUCCAAAAGUGAGUAAAUGAAGUGAUGAAUGACACGCAAAGUUCUUUGCCAGAUGAAUGACACUUUGAUUGUUCUUUGUGUGUAGCCUGUAUUCCACUCUUUCUUGCCCAAGUUCAUUCAAUAAGCCUUUUAACCAAUUCAUCUACUUACAUGCUUCCAUUGCAACAAUAUAUUCUGGUAGACAAGGAAGUGACCUCUUGUUGUCUUGAGAUCCAACUGAUUACUUAACUUCCAAGAGUAAACACAUAGCAUGUAAAACUCUUCCUGCCAUCAACAUUUCUAACCAUAUAUGAGUACAAAACCUUAUAGCCUGAUUCUAGCACCUAUGUAUAGCAAAUACCUCUUCUUCGUUUCUAAUGUUACAUCUCGUCUCCCACAAAAAGCUAGCAUGUCCCGUACCUUGUCAUAUAUGCUCGUAAAAUAAUGGUGUCUUUACGUUAAUAGAAGGUGCAAGCCAUGAUGAGGAUUUGUCCAGGGGUUAAAACUCUUAUUAGAAGUGUGGUUUCAUAUAAACAAGGUUUUAAGUUCAUGUACAAUAAGAAUUGGAAGGACUAGAGGUUAAUCGAAUCGAUGACGGAACAAAUGCACUGGACAGUGCAACUCGACGAGAUGGUUGAUGAACCGUUGACUGAUCGAUGGUCCGUCAUUCCGUAGCGUCGAGUAGCCCUCUGAGAAUCAGAGGCUGCCGCUAAUCGACAGUUGCAAGUCAACGGACCGUUGAGCAGUCGACGGUAUUGUCGAGCUUGCCGUCGACUGUGAGGCGGUGGAAAUUUGUCCACUUACUAUAAAUAGAGGGACCGCGACUUGGGAUCAAAUUUUCUCCAAAAUCCAUAUUUCUCUAGAAUUUUCAAGUCCUCUCACUAUCCUAAAUUCAUCCAUUAACAUCCUAAGCAAUUUUAAGAGAAGAUCAAGCCUAAAACCUUUAACUAGGUCAUGGAGGGAGCUUGUUCUUACUUCUAAUUGAAGUUGUGGUGGAUAGCCUUAGAGUAAAUUGUGUGAGGUGAAGUUCUUCAAGUUAUAAGGUAUAAUUUUCACUUUAUUUCUUAUUUUGGGUUGAUGUAAAGGCUUAACAAGUUCCAAAUGUGAAAAUAGUUGUGAAGGAAGGAUCAUAAAGUAUGGUGUCAAGUUGUUGGCUAUGGAUGGAAUUUCCUUAACCCCAAAGAGUCUCAAAGAUACGUUAUAUGCAUUGGUAUACAUGAAUAAUUAGGCUUAACUAAGGUUAUAUAUGGCCAUGUAGGGCAAGGGACGAGCGGCCUUCAGAAUAAGAAAUUCCUUCUAAUAGCGGAUCGACGAAUAAAGAUGUGCAUACCACUGCAGUGGGCAUGUUAUGAUGAUAACCUGGACGCGGGAUGGCCCGGACGCUGGAUGAUGAUAUGACGAUGGUACGAUGAAGAUGCUAUUGUAUGUAUAUAAUUGCAUAUGUUUUUGAACUCAUGCAUUGCAUAUUGUACGUUCUCAGAUGGCUCGGCUUACUUCUAUCAUGUUCAUACUUAUGUCUUACUUAUGAUAUUGUUUCCUGCCUUACAUACUUAGUACUUUUAUCCGUACUGAAGUCCUAUCCUACGGGACGCUGCAUUUCGUGCUACAUGUCCUGAUAGAUUCACUGAGGGGCAGCCACAGUAGGACGUCUAGCUUCAGCGGGUGUCAGCAAGUGCCAUUACUCCGGACUUGCUAUAUUUGAUAUACUUAUGUGGUCAUGAUAUAUGUGCAUAUGCUAUAGGUACGUCGGGGCCUUGUCCCGACCUUUACGCUUUUGUAUGUAUACUCUUAGAGGCUCAUAGACAUAGUGAAAUAUGUACAUAUUACGUUUUUCCUUGUUGGCUAUGGUAUGAUUUGAUACUCUUCUGAUA